AUUUGAAAUGAACAAGCGUGAACAAACCGUAUUUGCUGCCAGGGGAUUAAGGGUAAAAGAAUGUGAAGCAAAACUAUGGUUAGUUGAAGUUGUAAGAGUGAAGAAGAGAGGGAGAAUGUUACAAAGUCAACGCUGACAUACUUCCUCCACCACUCAGAGCAAGACCAGCUGACCCCCUCAUCUGCAUUUGCCUCCAAGUGAAUAGUUGCUAUUUUAGUUGAUGAAGAAAGAAUACACCUGCCGUAUGACCCAGCCAUUCUACUCCAGGAUAUGCCCAAGCCUGAGCUUGUCUGCUGGAUGACAGACACGUGGAGCAGAGAUGAAUCUUCACAGCUGAGACCAUUCUUGACCAAUUAUGAAUGCCCAGCAACUAGGCAGUUCUCCACAAACACAUAAUUAAACCCAGCUGAACCGGAAGAAUCACCAGCUAACACCAGCCCAGAUCACCAACUCGCUGACAAAAUGUGAUUAUGACGGAUUGUGCUUCAAAGCAAUUAUAAAGCUUUCAUCAGCUGCAUUUACAUGGCUGAUUAUACGAAGCUUGUCAACCUUCUGGCCUGCUACAUUGUUGCUGAAAAAAUCUGGUGUAUAGUUCCACUGGGGACGUCAUGAUUUGGAGAAGAGAUAGGCAACACAAGAUUCAAUAUCAGCUCUCCCUUGGUCUCUGGAUA